GAAGCGCGUUGAUGAGGUGGAGUUUGUUGACACUCCCUUACACAUAGCUGCAGCUGCAGGGCACACCGAUUUUGUGAUGGAGAUGAUGAACUUAAAGCCAUCAUUUGCUAAGAAGUUGAACCAACAUGGUUUUAGCGCCCUUCACCUGGCCUUGCAAAACGGGCAUAAAGAGACGGUGCUUCAACUCCUGGAAAUCAAUAAAGAUCUUGUUCGUGUCAAAGGGAAGAAUGGCUACACUCCUUUGCAUUAUGUAACUAGAGAAGGAAACCUUGAUCUUUUGGCUAAAUUUUUGGAGGAUUGUCCUGAAUGUGUCUUUGACGUGACAAUUCACAGCUAGACUGCUUUUCACAUUGCUGUUGAAAACGAUAGAUUAGCUGCUCUUCAUGUCUUAUCCAAGAUGCUGAAGAAGACUGAUUGUUGUCAAGGAGUGGUGAACCGGAAAGAUAAGGAUGGCAACACUGCCUUACACAGAGCUGCGGCCAAGAAUUACCCCCAGGUCAUCAAAUCUCAUUGACCCGCUCUAAUUAAUUUUACUUUUGGUAAAAAGAAAUGGAUCCUUUUUUGGUUGUAUUUUGCGGUCAUUAACCGAUAGAAGUUUUUGUCUUGAUUAAACCUAGAUGCUCAAACUGCUAUUAGCAUGCAAGGCUGAUAAAAAUGUGACCAAUCAAGCUGGUUUAACGGCUCUGGAUGUUGCACGGGGCCAGGUUAACAACCGAGAAAGCAUUAAUAUACUUGGAGUUUGUUCAUUUGCUGGAGUUUCAACUUUAUAUAAGUUGUGGCAACUGAUCGUCAAAAUUUUAACAGAGGCAUCAACAGAGAUUUUUCAGGAUAUGGAUGGCAUUUCAAGCGACGACCGCAACGCUUUAUUAGUAAUAUUGGGAUUGCUACUAACAGCAACCUACCAAGCAAUUCUUAGCCCGCCCGGUGGCGUUUGGCAGGGUGCAGGUACGGAAACUCGUUUAAGCUCGCCUAGCGUUGUUUGGCAGGUUGGAGCUCCAACCUCCACUCCCACUCCAUUCCAUCCUAGAAAAAGUAGAAAUAUCGUAGGAACAUCAAUCAUGGAUCCAGUUGAAUUUCUUGUUUUCUAUCUUACAAUCUGUGCAGUGUUUAUCGUAGCGUUUUUCUUAACAUUGGGCCUCCUUAAACCUUUUCCCCGAGGUUUCAAGACUGCUCUUCAGGUAUUAUUGGCAUUUUUUGCUAUAUGCUUUCAAGCGUCAAUAUAUCCCAUAAUUCCGUUUUAUUUUUACGUGCCCUUAGUUAUCAACAUAUUUAUAUUUUUGGUUUUUGUUAUAAUGAUGUCCAUGUGUACUGCUUCCCGUGUAUCCAAAAUUAGCGUUAUGGUACUAGGAUGCUGGUUACUUGUUGGUGUCAUUUAUCAAUCCUUCGCAUCUUUCGGUUCUUAAGAUUUCAUAUGUUCUCUGUUGUAUCUCUAUUUGUGGUUAAAUGUAUCACAACCAAAGUCAAUUUGUCAGACAAUCACCUCUCUUUUUUUUUUUUUUGAAGUUGUGAACCAGUUCAGUUUUAUAUUGUACUCCUGUUUUGGGAAAAAAAAUUUAAUGGAAAAAAAUGUUUUCCCAACUAUUUUUUUUUAUUUCAUAAUGUAACGGAUACUGUUAAUUUCGAAAAAAUAAUAGUAAAAUGUUGAUUAAUUAAUAAUAAUAAUUAAUUAGUUUCAAUAAUCAAUUUUUUAAAUGAAUAAAAACAAAAAAAUUAGUUACAUUUUAAUUGAUUGAAUUUUAAAAUGAAAAAUUUGAUAAAUAUUAUAUCCUACAAUUAUGAACGUGUAAUGAUAAAAAAAAUGCUUUGAUGUUCUUUGCAUGUUAUUUAACACGUAAACAUGAAUUCGGCCAAAUUUGUCAAAGCCAGGUUAUGUUAAUAAAGCCCAUGAAUUUCUCAAAAUAUUUUCCAGGAUUUGAUAUCUCAACCCUCAAGCCCACCUUCCAUUUUAGGAUGACAAAUAUCAGACAUGAAGAACAAAUAAGUCCAGAGGAAGUCAUAUAUGGCAAAAUACCAAGAGAAGGAACUGAAGUUGGAAGCAACAAGGGAAGAAUUCGUGACUCAAAGGAACAGAAGCCAUAGCAUAACAAAUGAUGCUCUAAACGCACCGUUUCACUUAAACACAGCACCAUGGCAGCAUAUCAUAUGUGUGAGAAACACACCGUUUCAGUAAUUGGUGCUUUUCAAAUUUUAGUUUAGAGAGGUUUAUUAGAUUAGAGUAUUUUUAUGUAUUUGGAGAAGGGAAUUCCAAUUUUAUUUUUUUUUAAAAAAAAUUAUAUAUCAGUUAAUAAGUUAAAUAUUCAAAUAUUUUGAUUAGUUUAGAAUUAAUUUGGUUUCCUUCAUUUAUUCCCACCUGUAAAAGCUAUAUAUAUUCUAAAGCUAGUAUCAUACCCUAAUUUGGAUUAUUCAAUGUGAAUUGAGUUAACAUUCUCUCACCAUUGCUGCAUCGGACGCUUUUCCUUUUAUACCAUGCUAGAUUUUGUCCCGUGCUCCGUGCUCGGGUUAAAAAAAAAACUGUUGUAAAAAAUGUUCAUGGCAAAAAAAUAUACAAUUUUUCGUACAAAAGGAGAGAGCAUGCAUUCAUUUGCACCUAUUCAAGUGAAAGUGAAUGAUCAUAAUGAAAAUUAAGAUCAUUAUUCACUCUUCAAUUCGUUAUGCUUGCUUAAACAAAAAAUAUAAAGCAAUUUUUAUAAAUUUAUACAUUCAUUUGUAUCUACUUAACAAAAGGAGUGUGGCCAUGAAUAAAAUUUACAUUAUGCUCUGAUGUUAUGUUUUUGCAGUUACUUUUGUGCAUACAAAAGUUAACGUUAUAGUGUUCUGUGGUGUUAACUUGAGGAAUAGUUUUCUAGCUACUCGGUUGCUGACUGGUGAUGGUAAAGUUUGCUCUUCUGAUUCUAUUCUUGUUGGAAGUGUCAUUGAUCUUGAAGCAGCAGCAGAACUUGGAGUGUAGCAUUCUUGGUUUCGCAGCUCAUCACAAUCAAACAUCUUGUGGCUGGUUAUUCCUGAUUUCAUUACUUUGGUGGUUAAGCCUAUGGUGAAAAUCCUUCCUUGAUUGAUAAAUGCUUUUUGCAGAAGGUGCAGCAAAAAGGUGUCAAGAACCAGUUUCAAAAGAGUAGAACAAACUACUUACAUUUGAAAAACUGAAAGCAACAAAAAUAAUCAUGUAAAACAUAUCCUUUUUUGAGUCCUAUAAAGAGAAAGAUUAGCUUGAUAACUGUGCGUGAAACCACCGGAGUCUUGACUGAUAAUAUCUUUUGUUAAAGCAUAAAGCAAUAUCAAUGUAAAAAGAUCAAUGAAAAUUAAUACACACAUUAAUUUUCAAAAUAGUUAAGACGGGCAGUGAUAAAUAAGUAAAAAAAGGUAAAAUCAAAUAAAAUCCUAACCAAAAAAGUAAUGCUUUACUAAUAGCCAAAAAGAAGAGAUGAUUUUAUAAUUUAAGGAAUACCUUUGUUUCCUACAUCUUCUCCUUCACCGAUUUUCUCUUCAAGUUGCAUCAUCAAGGUGGACUCCGGCUCAAUUGCAUUUCAUAUGUCAAAACAAUUUCAAUUAAUUGAACAAACUGAGAGAACAAAAAGUAAAAAGCAAGACAUAAAAGAAAUGAAAUGAAAUUACAUGAUAGUUCAAAAGUUUUUAUUUUUGAAGUCAUAGUUCCAAAAUAGUUAAGACAAGUGGUGAUAAAUAAGCGAAAAAAGGGUAAAAUCAAGUAGAAAUUCUAACAAAAAAUACUGCCUCCUAGUGUGUUAUAUUUUUUUGUCCAUUUUAUUUCUUCCUUACUAAAGAGUCAAAAAGAAAAGAUGAUUAUAUAAUUUAAAGGAUACUUUCGCUUUUUACAUCUUCUCCUUCACCAAUUUUUUCUUCAGAUUGCAUCAUCAAGGUGGACUCCAGCUCAACUGCAUUUCAUAUGUCAAAGAAAUUUAAAGUAAUUGAACAAACUAAGGCAACAAAACAAAAAAGAAAUGAAACAAAAUUAUAUGACAUUUCAAAGGUUUUUAUUUCCGGGGAAUCAGUUUCAAAAUUAACUUCCAAAAUUAUACACACAUUAAAUUCCAAAAUUGUUAAACCAGCCAGUGAUUAAUAAGUUUAAAAAAAGUAAAAGUAAAAUAAAAUAAAAAUUCAAGCCAAAGAAAAACUACUUCCCAAUCCAUUCCGUUUUUUUAAUCCAUCCUAUCCUGACUAAAUAGCAAAAACGAAAAAUAAUUAUAUAAUUUAAAGAAUAUCUUUGUUUUUUUACAUAUUCUCUUUCAUCGAUUCUCUCUUCAAAUUGCAUCAUCAAGGUAUACUCUUAUUCAACUGUAUUUCUUAUAUUAAAAAAAUUUUAAGUAAUUGAACAAACUAAAGCAACAAAAAAAAAAUGAAACGAUAUUUUAUGACAGUUCGAAGGCUUUUAGUUGAGAAGAUUUAUUUUUGGUUGGGAAAUGUAAGUUCCAUUCAAAGCAAAAAAAAAAAAAGCUAUUUUGUUUGAAGAAUGAAGAUCGAGGAGGGAUGGAGUGGGAAAGUGUGUGCGCCUAUAUUUUUCAUUUUCUUAAAUAAAUCAUAAACAAUUGUAAUUUUCAACCUAGCAAGUGACUGAAAGCCUGUUAACGUGGCCAUUGGUCAUUGCCCACUUCAAAAGGCCAAGGCAAAGCUGAUUGGGAAGUUUGGUUGUUGGCAGUACAACUGAACGUCAUAAUCAUUGCUUCACUGUGCUCCGUUCACGUUUCAUAAAGAUUAAAAAACACUACAGUAUUGAAUGGGUGAUUGAAAAGGGAUGAUGGACAUCCCGAAGACCGAUCCGAAGAACCAAAACAGGAAAACAAAUUCAGGCCACCCACGUCGUCCAGUUGUACAAAUCUCCAUUAACCAAAACCUUUCACAGGAGUCUGAAAAGAGAGAAGAGCAAGUUAGAAAGAAAGGAAUGAGGCCAAAAAACAAACCUAACGCCACAGUAAAAGGAUGUGGGCAUGCGGCCUGCCCAAGUUGACCAAAGCCUAAAACUUUUCUUGAGAAGGCCACUUAAAAGUUUACUUGUCAACUCUGGAAGCCCUAACGUGGCAAAUUGUGAAAGUUACUUUGGUUUUUUUUUUUUUUUUUUAUUAUUAAGAGUAUGCUUAAUUUGAUUUUUUUUAAUUUAAAAAUUAUUGUGAAGUNGUUUUUUUUAAUUUAAAAGUUAUUAUGAAGUUUUUAUAAAAAAUAAUAAUUUUAAAAAUUAAAUUAAAGUUAUUUAUAAAUUUUUUAUAAUUUUUUUUAUAAGUUAUAAUUUUUAUUAAAAUUAUCAUAAAAUAUAUUUUUUUAAAAAGAUAAUAUUGUAAUUAUUUUUAAUAAUAAAGAUAUUUUUGAAAAAAAAUAAAAAUUUUCUUGUAUUUUUAAAAGAAGAGAAAAAAAAGGAAGUUCCUCCUUGGAGUUUUUUUUAAGCUAUUUUUUUAAAAAUUUUGUUCUUAAAUAAAAGUACUUUUUUUUAAUAGCUUAUCAAUUGAUUAUGUUUGAGCUGAUUUUUACAUUUAAAAAGUAAAUAAGUUGAAAAAAAAGUUAGAUCAAACAUGCACUAAGUCAUAGAUUUUCACAUGAAUUGGCAGCAGGCUCCUCUAGGCUCUAGCUGAAUUUUGAAAGGAAUACAGAGCACAAUUGAACAAUAUUCUUUAUGACCUUUUGGGACAGGAUAAAGUUUCUGCACCCAAAAUUUUGCAUACUACAGUAAACGUGAUAGAUUUAAUUAGCCCCCAGCUUUUUGUUGAUUUUAUUUUGGUUAUUGAUGGUUUUGUUUUUUGUUUUUUUAUUUUUGAUUAAAAAUAAUAUAAUGAAAAAAAAAAUAACAAGAAGUAAACAACAAAAACAAAAACAAGAACAGGUUAUCAAACAAUAUCUUUCAUGGAGAGAUCUCAUGAGGUUUGUGAAUGUUUAACUAUUGAGAGGAGCUGGAGCUCUCAGAGGCGGCUUCGGUUGCUUCAUUAUUUUUAUGUUGAGAGCUUUUCAAUGCAAUUUUAAACGUCAUUCAUAAGAAUAGCUUUUACAAUUCAUAUAUGUGAAUAAUGAUAUAGAUAGAUAAAAAAGUAACAGAAGAGAGUUUCACAAUUGAAAUACAUACUUAUAAAAAGAUUAGCUGUGUAUAAGCUAUUAGGAAGGAAGAACGAUUUUGUAACUAUGAUAGUAGUACCUUUUUUCUUUAUUUAAUUGUUUCUUUGAUCACCAUAAUAAGAGGGCAUCAAGUUGUUGCAGUGUUGCUGGUAAGUGGUGACAUGGAAAUUAUUUUUUUUAGAAGUGAAAACUUUUGUUAUUGUUUACGUAAUUAAAUGUAGAUUUUUAAAAUUAAUAUUUUUUGUUUUUUAAAAAAUUUUAAGGAUGAUUUUAUAUCCUCUAAAGCUACUAGUCAUCGUAGACAAAUGUCACUGCAUGGUUGAAAGGAAAAAAAGUAUACAUUUGGAAACAACGCGCAUUUAGAUAAUUUAAUCUUAUUACCUAGUGGUAAUGGCAAGACUACUAGUCAAUAAGGUUGAUCCCACUUCUGAAAACAAUCAAUAGGAUUGAGUUGAUUGACAUUUGAGAAAACGUUUGAGAAGGAGAUAGACAAGGUGAGCUUAGUUGUCCAAUAAUAGUUUGGGUUAUUUCCAUGAAACCACGUGAAUGAAGACCAAAGUUUUAAACUACUUCGUUCCAUGAAAGCUGUAUCUUUUUGUUCCACCUUUUCCGACUUGUAAUGUUUCCUUUUCACUAUAAUUGACUGACUCAAAAAAUACCUUUUCUUUUAAGUAUGAAAGUUCUACCUUUUUAUUUUGCCUUUUCCCCACUUUUAUUGUUUCCUUGUUGACUUUAAUCGACUGACGAAAAAGUCACCGAUCAUGAAGACAAGCACCUUACAAAGAAACGCAAUCUUGAUGUGGUAGAGAUAAUCCCUCCUCAUUUCCUUCACAAACCACAACUACUUUCUCUUUCAACAAACUAGUUAUUAUAAUUAUUAGUUCAAACGCUUCCAGUUCUCUGCCUAUAGUGUUUCUCGUCUCGCUAUGAUUACCGGAUGGAGGGGAGCCGCUCUAGCAGGAAAUAUCGAGGCACUCUACGCAUCAAUUCAAGAAGAUGGAGAUGUUUUGAAGCGCAUUGAUGAGGUGGAGUUUGUUGACACUCCCUUACACAUAGCUGCAGCCGCAGGGCACACCGAUUUUGUGAUGGAGAUGAUGAACUUAAAGCCAUCAUUUGCUAAGAAGUUGAACCAACGUGGUUUUAGCUCCCUUCACCUGGCCUUGCAAAACGGGCAUAAAGAGACGGUGCUUCGUCUCCUGGAAAUUAAUAAAGAUCUUGUUCGUGUCAAAGGGA
rnacentral:lncRNA from 1 species